rnacentral:tRNA from 1 species
GCCCAGGUGGCUCAGUCGGUUGAGCGUCCGACUUCAGCUCAGGUCAUGAUCUCACAGUUCGUGAGUUCGAGCCCCACGUCGGGCU